AUUGAACGCUGGCGGCAGGCCUAACACAUGCCAGUCGAACGGUAACAGGAAGAAGCUUGCUUCUUUGCUGACGAGUGGCGGACGGGUGAGUAAUGUCUGGGAAACUGCCUGAUGGCGGGGGAUAACUACUGGAAACGGUAGCUAAUACCGCAUAACGUCGCAAGACCAAAGUGGGGGACCUUCGGGCCUCUUGCCAUCGGCUGUGCCCAGAUGGGAUUCGCUAGUAGGUGGGGGAACGGCUCACCUAGGCGACGGUCCCUAGCUGGUCUGAGAGGAUGACCAGCCAAAAUGGAACUGAGACCACGUCCAGACUCCUACGGGAGGCAGCCGUUGGGAAUAUUGCAGAAUGGGCGCAAGCCUGAUGGAGCCAUGCCGCGUGUAUGAAGAAGGCCUUCGGGUUGUAAAAUACUUUCAGCGGGGAGGAAGGGAGUAAAGUUAAUACCUUUGCUCAUUGACGUUACCCGCAGAAGAAGCACCGGCUAACUCCGUG
rnacentral:rRNA from 1 species